AUUGAACGCUGGCGGCAUGCCUUACACAUGCAAGUCGAACGGCAGCACGGGAGCAAUCCUGGUGGCGAGUGGCGAACGGGUGAGUAAUAUAUCGGAACGUGCCCAGUAGUGGGGGAUAGCCCGGCGAAAGCCGGAUUAAUACCGCAUACGACCUGAGGGUGAAAGCGGGGGAUCGCAAGACCUCGCGCUAUUGGAGCGGCCGAUAUCAGAUUAGCUUGUUGGUAGGGUAAAAGCCUACCAAGGCGACGAUCUGUAGCUGGUCUGAGAGGACGACCAGCCACACUGGGACUGAGACACGGCCCAGACUCCUACGGGAGGCAGCAGUGGGGAAUUUUGGACAAUGGGCGCAAGCCUGAUCCAGCCAUGCCGCGUGCGGGAAGAAGGCCUUCGGGUUGUAAACCGCUUUUGUCAGGGAAGAAACGGCUCUUGAUAAUACCGAGAGCUAAUGACGGUACCUGAAGAAUAAGCACCGGCUAACUACGUGCCAGCAGCCGCGGUAA
rnacentral:rRNA from 1 species